UGGGGAAUUUUGGACAAUGGGCGAAAGCCUGAUCCAGCAAUGCCGCGUGUGUGAAGAAGGCCUUCGGGUUGUAAAGCACUUUUGUCCGGAAAGAAAUCCUUGGCUCUAAUACAGUCGGGGGAUGACGGUACCGGAAGAAUAAGCACCGGCUAACUACGUGCCAGCAGCCGCGGUAAUACGUAGGGUGCAAGCGUUAAUCGGAAUUACUGGGCGUAAAGCGUGCGCAGGCGGUUUGCUAAGACCGAUGUGAAAUCCCCGGGCUCAACCUGGGAACUGCAUUGGUGACUGGCAGGCUAGAGUAUGGCAGAGGGGGGUAGAAUUCCACGUGUAGCAGUGAAAUGCGUAGAGAUGUGGAGGAAUACCGAUGGCGAAGGCAGCCCCCUGGGCCGAUACUGACGCUCAUGCACGAAAGCGUGGGGAGCAAACAGGAUUAGAUACCCUGGUAGUCCACGCCCUAAACGAUGUCAACUAGUUGUUGGGGAUUCAUUUCCUUAGUAACGUAGCUAACGCGUGAAGUUGACCGCCUGGGGAGUACGGUCGCAAGAUUAAAACUCAAAUGAAUUG
rnacentral:rRNA from 1 species